rnacentral:rRNA from 1 species
GACGAACGCUGGCGGCGUGCCUAAUACAUGCAAGUCGAACGAGUGGCGGACGGGUGAGUAAAACGUGGGAACCUACCCAUCAGAGGGGGAUAACACUUGGAAACAGGUGCUAAUACCGCAUACUGAUGGAUGAACACGCGGUGGAUUAGCUAGUUGGUGAGGUAAGGGCUCACCAAGGACACGUUGCAUAGGCGACCUGAGAGGAUGAUCAGCCACACGGGGAAUGAGACAAGGCCCAGACUCCUACGGGAGGCAGCAGUGGGGAAGAUUGCACAAUGGGCGAAAGCCUGAUGCAGCCAGGCCGCGUGUAUGAAGAAGGCCUUAGGGUUGUAAAGUACUUUCAGCGGGGAGGCGUUACCCGCAGAAGAAGCACCUGCUAACUCCGUGCCAGCAGCCGCGGUAAUAC